GUGCUUGCUUUGGCAGCACAUACUGAAAUUGGAACGACACAGAGAUUAGCUUGGCUUCUGUGCAAAGAUGACAUGCAAAUUCGUGAAGCAGCCCAUAUUUUU
rnacentral:snRNA from 1 species